GUACUCACACUUUGUCAGCAUAUACACUAAAUUUGGAACAAUACAAGGGAGAUAAGUAUGGUCCCUUUACAAAGAUGACACGAAAUUCAUGAUGCUUUUCAUGCAAUU
ensembl:snRNA U6 U6 spliceosomal RNA